rnacentral:rRNA from 1 species
UACGAAGGGGGGCUAGCGUUGCUCGGAAUUACUGGGCGUAAAGCGUGCGCAGGCGGUUUUGUAAGUCUGUUGUGAAAUCCCCGGGCUCAACCUGGGAAUGGCAAUGGAGACUGCAAGGCUAGAGUUUGGCAGAGGGGGGGUAGAAUUCCACGUGUAGCAGUGAAAUGCGUAGAUAUGUGGAGGAACACCGAUGGCGAAGGCAGCCCCCCUGGGUCAAAACUGACGCUCAUGCACGAAAGCGUGGGGAGCAAACAGG